rnacentral:rRNA from 1 species
UGGGGAAUAUUGCACAAUGGGCGCAAGCCUGAUGCAGCCAUGCCGCGUGUGUGAAGAAGGCCUUCGGGUUGUAAAGCACUUUCAGCGGGGAGGAAGGCGAUAAGGUUAAUAACCUUGUCGAUUGACGUUACCCGCAGAAGAAGCACCGGCUAACUCCGUGCCAGCAGCCGCGGUAAUACGGAGGGUGCAAGCGUUAAUCGGAAUUACUGGGCGUAAAGCGCACGCAGGCGGUUGAUUGAGUCAGAUGUGAAAUCCCCGGGCUUAACCCGGGAAUUGCAUCUGAUACUGGUCAGCUAGAGUCUUGUAGAGGGGUGUAGAAUUCCAUGUGUAGCGGUGAAAUGCGUAGAGAUGUGGAGGAAUACCGGUGGCGAAGGCGGCCCCCUGGACAAAGACUGACGCUCAGGUGCGAAAGCGUGGGGAGCAAACAGG